GGUGAAAUGCGUAGAGAUCUGGAGGAAUCCCGGUGGCGAAGUGGCCCCCUGGACAAAGACUGACGCUCAGGUGCGAAAGUGUGGGGAGCAAACAGGAUUAAUACCCUGGUAGUCCAUGCCGUAAAAGAUGUUGACUUGGAGGUUGUGCCCAUGAGGCGUGCUUCCGGAGCUAACGCGUUAAGUCGACCGCCUGGGGAGUACGGCCGCAAUGUUAAAACCAAAUGAAUUGACGGGG
rnacentral:rRNA from 1 species